rnacentral:rRNA from 1 species
CUUUACGGUGCCUCUGAUGGAUGGACCCGCGGUGCAUUAUCUAUUUGGAGAGGUAACGGCUCACCAAGGCCACUAUGCAUACCAGACCUGAGAGGGAGAUCGCCCACAUUGAGACUGACACACGGCCCACACUCCUACGAGAGGCAGCAGUAGGAAAUCUUCGGUAAUGGACAAAAGUCUGACCGAGCAACGCCGCGAGAGAGAAGAAGGUUUUCAGAUCGUAAAACUCUGUUGUUAGAGAAGAACGGGGGAGAGAGUAACUGUUCACCCCUUGACGGUAUCUAACCAAAAAGCCACGGUUAACUACGUGCCAGCAGCCGCGGUAAUACGUAGGGGGCAAGCGUUGUCCGGAUUUAUUGGGCGUAAAGCGAGCGCAGGCGGUUUCUUAAGUCUGAUGUGAAAGCCCCCGGCUCCACCGGGGAGGGUCAUUGGAAACUGGGACACUUGAGUGCAGAAGAGGAGAGUGGAAUUCCAUGUGUAGCGGAGAAAUGCGUAUAUAUAUGGAAGAACACCAGUGGAGAACGCGGCUCUCUGGUCUGUAACUGACUCUGAGGCUCAAAAGCGUGGGGAGCACACGGGAUUAUAUCCCCUGGUACCCCACGCCAUACACUAUGAGUGCUAAGUGUUAGAGGGUUUCCGCCCUUCAGUGCUGCAUCUAACGCUUUACCCUCCCCCCCUGGAGAGCACGACCGCAAGGUUAAAUCUCAAAGAAUUGACGGGGCCCCCCACACCGGUGAAUCUGUGUUUUUUUCAAACCACGCAAAAAACCUUACGGGUCUGAACUCCUUUGACCUCUCUAAAAAAAAUCUCCCCUUCGGGGACAAAGUAACGGGGGGUCUUUUUUCCCUCAUCCGUUUUUAAAAUUUGAUUUUUCCCCCCC